AAAAUGCCUAAACUUAAAAUAGGCACCAUGCAAAACCUGCAUAACUGGAACAUGUAUAAAGUGCCCUGUAUGCAGCUGCCAGUGGAUCUGUGAGGUUCUGGAGUUAAUUUCCAUUUAUCAGCUAGGAGUUACUGACACCCUGACACUCAGCUCUGUUGCUCUCUGCUGUCGAGACCUUGCACAUGGAGGAAGAGAGAGACUGUGUAAACAGUCCUGCGAGCUGACCAACGUGUCUGCCAAAUGCACUGCCUGCUGUUCAUGCAGUAUUUCCUCUAGCACAUAUGUGAGCUGUGCUCCUGAAGCCACUGCACGUAAAAUGAACACAGAAGCCCUGAGAAGUGCAGUGGACAAGACCAGGACAUUUCCACUUCAAGUGGGAGCAGCCAGCACAGUGGGGACUGUGUGACACGUCAGCUGUGCUCAGAGAUCUGCCUGCUUACUAUUCAUCAGACAGGACUGAGGAAGAGUAGCACUUCAGCAGCAUCUUACCCACAGAUGAAGUCUUUAACUCUCCUUAUUGUCCUAUCUUUCCUCCUCUGUGCCCUUUCCUCCCUACAGUGCCUGCCUUAGCUGUUUGGCAACCCUCACUGCUCCCACACCAUGACUCCAACUCAAAUGACUGUCAUCCAGAGGGAAUGUUUCCAUUUGAAUGACAUGAGCAGGCACUCGGUAAACUUCCCCACAGGCUCUGCCACUAUAAUCCCUGGGAAGAAGCAACCUGCAGGACCUACUUUCACUGUUCAAUGCUUUCUCUGUUUAUUGCUACCAUUGUCAGAACCAGAAACAUCACUCAAAUUCACACAGGAGUCCUUACAUCUGUCAGCCACCAACCACUGGUGAUACUCAGCAUCAGAAACUCGCUGUCCAUGCAAGCCUGAACCCGUAGCUUAGGGAAGGGGAGCUUGAUUUCUCAUUGGAAAUUCCUAUGCUCUGUGGUGCUCUAUACAAGGCAUUUUUGGUGUCAUGCUGACUUGCUUCCUUUCCUUCUCCUGUUGCAAGCACUCCUUUAUCCCAGGUUGCCAGAAGCCUACUGUUCCAACAGCUGCUAAGACAGAGUGAGGUGUCAACUUUGACGAGAUGCCAGAUUGCUUAUUAAUUAAAAAGCCAGGCAUUUUGUAUCCAUUCUGAGACACUAAUCAAAAGUAAACUAUUUUAUCGACGGCUCCCAACAGUUAUAUCUGGUUAUUCUGAGGUAUUUGGUCACAACUGGCAACAUAACUCAAUGCAUUUUGUUGUUCCUGCUUACUUUAAUAAAGAUUUAUCAAAAUACCAAAAGGCCAGAAAGCUCAUUUCAUUUCUGCACAGUGAAAUCAUGCCUUGGUUGUAUCUGAAAAAAUGC